AAUUCUCAACUCUUAUCAACUUUUUGUUGAUAAUGGGCUUGGAUUAUGGGGGUCUAUUUUGCUGGUUUCUUCACAGAUGGCCAGCUCCCCUGAAAUAUAUUAGCUGGUGCCCUGUGUGGACUUGUCUAUUGGUGUGAUAAUUAUCUACGCUGUGGACAUCUACAAUAAUAUGGGUUUUGCACUGCUUCUAACUGUCUGUUCAUUCAGACAAUAUAUGACA
rnacentral:misc_RNA from 1 species